GGCUCAGAUCGCCGAAGCGUCGGACUACCGUUGGUUUCUGCAACUUCCUGGAUUAUCCUCGCCAAGGACUUUGCAAUAUUUUUUUCCGCCUUUUCUGGAAGGAUUUCGUUGCUUCCCGAAGGUCUUGGACGAGCGCUCUAGCUCUGUGGGAAGAUUUUGGGCUUUCUGGCUCGGAUUUUGCAAUUUCUCCCUUGGGACUGCCGUGGAGCCGCGUCCACUGUGGAUUAUAAUUGCAACAUGACGCUGGAAGAGCUCGUGGCGUGCGACAACGCGGCGCAGAAGUAAGUAGCCGGGGCUGCCGCCGCCUGAGGUCGGCCGGGACGGGAUGGGUCGGGUUGGGCCCGGCCGGGAGCGGAACGUAGCACCCGGUGGUCCGCCCGUCACUGAUCCCUCUCUCCUGGUCUCAGGAUGCAGACGGUGACCGCCGCGGUGGAGGAGCUUUUGGUGGCCGCUCAGCGCCAGGAUCGCCUCACAGUGGGGGUGUACGAGUCGGCCAAGUUGAUGAAUGUGUGAGUCA
rnacentral:sRNA from 1 species